rnacentral:lncRNA from 1 species
AUAAAAUCAAUGAUGUAGUACACUAGAAUACUGUCCCUAGUAUUGAAUCUUGUCUCUCAGCAAAGGGGAGGUGAUUAGCUCCCCUGUGCCAUGUUUCUGUUAUGUGCGUGGUGGAGGAAAAUUACACAGGAAGGUGAUGGAGAGAACAGAGCAAAGGAUUGGACAGGUCCAUUGAACCCAUAAGACUAUGGUGAGGUUAGUGAAUGAGACUGGUCAUUUUAGGUCAAAUUUUACCCAGAGCUGGUACAGCCACUGCCGAUUCUUAGCCAGACCUUAUUGCAGGCAGCUCUGAUCAAUAGUCAAGGAGGCAGUGGGGGUUGCAGACUU